CUUUUGCUGGCGACCGGCGCACGGGUGAGUAACACGUAUCCAACCUGCCCUUUACUCGGGGAUAGCCUUUCGAAAGAAAGAUUAAUACCCGAUAGCAUAAUGAUUCCGCAUGGUUUCAUUAUUAAAGGAUUCCGGUAAAGGAUGGGGAUGCGUUCCAUUAGGUUGUUGGUGAGGUAACGGCUCACCAAGCCUUCGAUGGAUAGGGGUUCUGAGAGGAAGGUUCCCCACAUUGGAACUGAGACACGGUCCAA
rnacentral:rRNA from 1 species